AAAUUUAUUCCGGUAUAAAAAACCAAAGGGAGAAGAAGAAAGAGAGACAAAUACGAAUAUGGAAAGGAGAGGGAGACAACCAAGAUGUCCUCUAAUGUUCUCCAACCACACCCACACACAAUUCAGCCUCUUAGCCCCUCAUUUUCCAUAUAUGGGGUGUUAUUUAAUUUCUUUUUCCUAAAUUCAUAGCCUCAAAAAUAUAUCUCAAUAUCCCUUCUGGCCUUCCACAUUCUCUCCCUUUUUAUCCCUCUUAAUAAAACAGAUCAAAUAACUGUUUUUGCUAUAUNNNN
rnacentral:lncRNA from 1 species